UACGGAGGGUGCAAGCGUUAUCCGGAUUCACUGGGUUUAAAGGGUGCGUAGGCGGGUUGGUAAGUCAGUGGUGAAAUCUUCAAGCUUAACUUGGAACUGCCGUUGAUACUAUCAAUCUUGAAUGUUGUGGAGGUAAGCGGAAUAUGUCAUGUAGCGGUGAAAUGCUUAGAUAUGACAUAGAACACCGAUAGCGAAGGCAGCUGCUACACAAAAUGACGCUGAGGCACGAAAGCGUGGGGAUCAA
rnacentral:rRNA from 1 species